rnacentral:lncRNA from 1 species
AGUAACUGUUCAUCAAUUUUCUGUUAACCCGUCAGACUUGUUGUGAGCUUCUAAACUCCAUUUUGUCUUGUUCAUCUCAACAUACUUUCUUCAUCGAAGUUGUUCCUCACCUUGUCAGCUACAACAUAUCCAAAUUUGAGAUCCAUCGGAGUAGUACAAAUCCAGAAAUUCAGGUAUGAUGAGUGACUGUUCAUCAUUUUUCUGUCAACCUGUCAGACUUGUUGUGAGCUUCGAAACUCCAUUUUCUCUUGCUCAGAUCAACAUACUUUCUUCAUCGAAGUUGUUCCUUAACUUGUGAACUACAACAUAUCCAAAAUUGAGAUCCCUCGGAGCUGUAUAACUCAAGAAAUGCAGGUAUGAUGAAUGACUGGUUAUGAUUUUUCUGUCAACCCGUCAGAUUUGUUGUGAGCUUUGAAACUCUAUUUUCUCUUGCUCAGAUCAGCAUGCUUUCUUCAUUGAAGUUGUUCCUCAGCUUGUGAACUACAACAUAUCCAAAUUUGAGAUCCCUCGGAGCUGUAUAACUCAAGAAAUUCAGGUAUGAUGAAUGACUGGUUAUUAUUUUUCUGUCAACCCGUCAGAUUUGUUGUGAGCUUCGAAACUCCAUUUUCUAUUGUUCAGAUCAGCAUGCUUUCUUCAUUGAAGUUGUUCCUCAUCGUCUCUUUCAUAACAUAUCAAAAAUUCAGAAUUAACUAAUGGUUAAAUAUUUCCAGAUCUUCGAAACAUCACAGCAGCUUCGAAAUCUGCAAGAAUCCGACUGUCAUGUUUGGAGCUUCAACACUUUAAUUUUCGUCGCUCAAACAGAAAUGGUUCCUUCUUGAAAGUUGUUCAUAUGCUCAAAAACUAUAGGUUAUCCAAAAUUCAGCUCCAUUGGAGAAGAGCAGAGGUUGCAGAAAUUUGAUAGAUGAAAGGAGGCGGAAGAGGGAG